rnacentral:rRNA from 1 species
GGACUACCGGGGUAUCUAAUCCUGUUUGAUCCCCACACUUUCGUGCCUCAGCGUCAAAUUUAGUUUAGUGGCCUGCCUUCGCUAUCGAUAUUCUGUGUGAUAUCUAUGCAUUUCACCGCUACACCACACAUUCCGACCACUUCAUCUAAUUUCUAGCUACACAGUAUCAACGGCAAUUUUACAGUUAAGCUGCAAACUUUCACCGCUGACUUAUAUAGCCGCCUACGCACCCUUUAAACCCAAUAAAUCCGGAUAACGCUCGCAUCCUCCGUAUUACCGCGGCGGCUGGCAC